GGCUCAGGAUGAACGCUAGCGGCAGGCUUAAUACAUGCAAGUCGAGGGGCAGCACGAAUAGCAAUAUUUGGUGGCGACCGGCGCACGGGUGCGUAACACGUAUACAACCUACCUAUAACAGGGGGAUAGCCUUUCGAAAGAGAGAUUAAUACCCCGUAAUAAAUUGAGUGGCAUCACUUGAUUUUGAAAGCUACGGCGGUUAUAGAUGGGUAUGCGUCUGAUUAGCUAGUUGGUGAGGUAACGGCUCACCAAGGCGACGAUCAGUAGGGGAUCUGAGAGGACUAACCCCCACACUGGUACUGAGACACGGACCAGACUCCUACGGGAGGCAGCAGUAAGGAAUAUUGGUCAAUGGAGGCAACUCUGAACCAGCCAUGCCGCGUGCAGGAUGACGGCCCUAUGGGUUGUAAACUGCUUUUGUACCAGAGAAAACCUACUCACGUGUGAGUAGCUGAUAGUAUGGUAAGAAUAAGCAUCGGCUAACUUCGUG
rnacentral:rRNA from 1 species